CAGGGCCAUCGAAAUUCCAUGGCUUCUUCUCUUCGGAUGUUCAGUCCUUUUCGAUAAGCGUUUUCGGAGUAACUCUUACCAGCCUCAUCGACAUGCUUCGUGAGAACCGGAAGCCAAAAAGGAUUGUAGGCACAUUGUCUAGAUUAGCAGUUCCUUCUUUGAUCCUCCACUACAACAUAUACCACCAUGUUCUCCAGAUGAGAAGAAACCAUUCGUUACUCCUAAUUACAUAAAGAAGCCAGCACAAUACACCUAAACUUCUUAAGGCAAGUAAUAGGGUCUUUGUCUACUUUAGUUCACUUGAUACUUUUUCUAUUUUUCCUUGUUCUGACAGUAUUUUGAGAGCUAAUCUACUCACACCCACAAUUAGAUAUGCAGUGGCAUUGUGCUGUCAAUACAAUCUGCCUCGUCAGGUAUUGGAUAUAGGCCUCCUUACCCUUGGACAAUGGGAAUUCUUGGUUUCUUGCUGAGAUUUAUGCAAUGCUGAACAUGAAGAUGAUCCUCAAAUUUUAGAUUGAGGUAAUUCUAUAUUAUUUGGUUGCUUCAGUUUUCUAUUUUUAUUCAAUGGUACUAUUGGAGGUUGAUUUUGUAAUCACGAUAAUAGUAUGCUACACCUAGCCCUCAUUCAUACGGAACUUUGACCGGGGAUGACAAGUGAGUUAGCUUAGGAUAUUCUGACCAGCUUCCUUAUGCUCAAGGCCUUUUACAAGGACAAUCAGAAUAUGCAGUUAGUCAAGUCUCUCCACAUCCAUCACACUUGUAUUAAAUACUUACUAACGAUCUAUUACUUUUGCAACAAACUUUUGUA